UUGUUUUGGCAGCAUAUAUAUUAAAACUUAGAAGGAUACAGAGAAGAUUAGCAUGACCUGUGCACAAGGAUCAUAUGGAAAUUGUGAAGCAUUCUUAAUCUUG